rnacentral:rRNA from 1 species
CCUACGGGUGGCAGCAGUGAGGAAUAUUGGUCAAUGGACGAGAGUCUGAACCAGCCAAGUAGCGUGAAGGAUGACUGCCCGAUGGUGGGUAAAAUUCUUUUAUAAAGGAAUAAAACGAGGCACGGGUGCCUUUUUGCUUGUAAUUUAUGAAUAAGGAUCGGCUAACUCCGUGCCAGCAGCCGGGGUAAUAAGGAGGAGCCGAGCGUUAUCCGGCUUUAUUGGGUUUAAAGGGAGCGUAGAUGGGUGGUUAAGUCAGUUGUGAAAGUUUGCGGCUCAACCGUAAAAUUGCAAUUGAAACUGGCAGUCGUGAGUACAGUUGAGGUAGGCGGAAUUCGUGGUGUAGCGGUGAAAUGCUUAGAUAUCACGAAGAACCCCGAUUGCGAAGGCAGCUUACUAAACUGUGACUGACAUUGAUGCUCGAAAGUGUGGGUAUCAAACAGGAUUAGAUACCCCGGUAGUC